ACGGGUGAGUAACGCGUGGGAAUCUACCUAGUUCUACGGAACAACUGAUGGAAACAUCAGCUAAUACCGUAUACGCCCUACGGGGGAAAGAUUUAUCGGAAUUAGAUGAGCCCGCGUAAGAUUAGCUAGUUGGUGGGGUAAUGGCCUACCAAGGCGACGAUCUUUAGCUGGUCUGAGAGGAUGAUCAGCCACACUGGGACUGAGACACGGCCCAGACUCCUACGGGAGGCAGCAGUGGGGAAUAUUGGACAAUGGGCGCAAGCCUGAUCCAGCCAUGCCGCGUGAGUGAUGAAGGCCUUAGGGUUGUAAAGCUCUUUCAGUGGGGAAGAUAAUGACGGUACCCACAGAAGAAGCCCCGGCUAACUUCGUGCCAGCAGCCGCGGUAAUACGAAGGGGCUAGCGUUGUUCGGAUUUACUGGGCGUAAAGCGCACGUAGGCGGAUUGUUAAGUCAGGGGUGAAAUCCUGGAGCUCAACUCCAGAACUGCCUUUGAUACUGGCAAUCUCGAGUCCGGAAGAGGUAAGUGGAACUCCUAGUGUAGAGGUGGAAUUCGUAGA
rnacentral:rRNA from 1 species